UACGGCGGUCCAUAGCGGCAGGGAAACGCCCGGUCCCAUCCCGAACCCGGAAGCUAAGCCU
rnacentral:rRNA from 1 species